AGCGGGAAAAGCUCAAAUUUAAAAUCUGGCGGUCUUUGGCCGUCCGAGUUGUAGUCUGGAGAAGUGCUUUCCGCGCUGGACCGUGUAUAAGUCUCUUGGAACAGAGCGUCAUAGAGGGUGAGAAUCCCGUCUUUGACACGGACUACCAGUGCUUUGUGAUGCGCUCUCAAAGAGUCGAGUUGUUUGGGAAUGCAGCUCAAAAUGGGUGGUGAAUUCCAUCUAAAGCUAAAUAUUGGCGAGAGACCGAUAGCGAACAAGUACCGUGAGGGAAAGAUGAAAAGCACUUUGGAAAGAGAGUUAAACAGUACGUGAAAUUGCUGAAAGGGAAACGCUUGAAGUCAGUCGCGUUGUCCGGAACUCAGCCUUGCUUUUGCUUGGUGCACUUUCCGGAUGACGGGUCAGCAUCGAUUUUGACCGUCGGAAAAGGGCUGGAGUAAUGUGGCACCUCCGGGUGUGUUAUAGACUCUGGUCGCAUACGACGGUUGGGAUCGAGGAACGCAGCGCGCCGCAAGGCAGGGGUUCGCCCACUUUCGCGCUUAGGAUGCUGGCAUAAUGGCUUUAAACGACCCGUCUUGAAACACGGACCAAGGAGUCUAACAUACCUGCGAGUGUUUGGGUGGAAAACCCGAGCGCGUAAUGAAAGUGAAAGUUGAGAUCCCUGUCGUGGGGAGCACCGACGCCCGGACCUGACGUUCUCUGACGGAUCCGCGGUAGAGCAUGUAUGUUGGGACCCGAAAGAUGGUGAACUAUGCCUGAAUAGGGUGAAGCCAGAGAACUCUGGUGGAGCUCGUAGCGAUUCUGACGUGCAAUCGAUCGUCAAUUUGGGUAUAGGGCGAAA
rnacentral:rRNA from 1 species